AUAGUACUUCCUCCGUCCAAAAAUACUUGUCGGAGAAAUGCAUAAAAAUGGAUGUAUCCAGAACUAAAAUACAUCUAGAUACAUCCAUUUCUCCGACAAGAAUUUUCAGACGGAGGGAGUAUUAC
rnacentral:pre_miRNA from 1 species